CUCUUCUAAGAUACAAUCUUAUGUGGAAUCCCAGAUACACGAAGUGAAUUCAGGAUUCACACUGUGGACGUGCACGUGUGGCAAGUCUUCCUCACAGCAGAGUCACUAGCAGCCCAAGGUGACGGCCCUUCUGUUCAGCUCCGGGUCUGAGGGUUGAAGAUGCCAAACCCCGCUGGUUGAAGAUUCGCGUGUGUCACAGCUCCGUAAGCACAGACGCACCGGUGCAGUCCUGUGGACUCGCAUAUGCGCCUGAAACUGACCUUUGCUGAGGCAUCUAUUUCAAAGACAUCCAUUCGAAUAAACCCACGGCAGCUGCGGACGUAGCUACUGGCUACCAUCACGUAAGGAACCGGGCAGCCCUGCCUGGAGGACCCCCUUUCAGAAACCCUAGAUGGCCGAGCCUGGAGCAACCUGCCUCUCC